CGUUGUCGUAAUGUGUGAAGUCUUGCUUGAGAAUGCUCCGGACACCUGGCUGUAGAAGGAAGAAUAGAAAUUGCGAUAACAAAAUCUUAAUUCUAAUAGAAUACUAACAAUGCUCUAAUUAGACUAUAAUAAUGGUAAACAAACGUAAUGAAAUUCAAAACAACUCAAAGAAAUUUCAAACAAACAAUAAAAUUCUUAAAGAAAUAUUACAAUGAUCACAAAUUUUACUCAAAUAUAUGUCAAUUCAAUCUUAAUUUAAUUCUAGUUAAAACUCUAUUGAAUUUCAGUCAACUUUAGACCAAACCUAAUUAAAUCUUAAAUCCUAAUAAUUCCUAAAUCCUAAGUCAAAUCCUAAACAAAUCUUAAAUUCAACCCUAUUCCAAACCCUAAAUCCUAAACCAAAUCCUAAAUCCAACCCUAAACUCUAAACCAAACCUUAAAUCAAAUCCUAACCAAACCCUAAUCCAAACCCUAAAUCAAAUCCUAACCAAAUCCUAAAUCCUAAUCCAAAUCCUAAUCCAAAUCAUAAACUUUAAUCCAAAUCCUAAACCCUAAACCAAACCUUAAAUCAAAUCCUA
rnacentral:lncRNA from 1 species